rnacentral:rRNA from 1 species
AUACGUAGGGGGCGAGCGUUGUCCGAAGUUACUGGGCGUAAAGCGCGCGUAGGCGGGUUUUUAAGUCGGAUGUGAAAUCUCCACGGCUCAACCGGGAAAUUGCAUCCGAAACUGGAGACCUUGAGGUAUGGAGAGGGAAGUGGAAUUCCUGGUGUAGCGGUGAAAUGCGUAGAUAUCAGGAGGAACACCCGUGGCGAAGGCGGCUUCCUGGCCAUAUCCUGACGCUGAGGUGCGAAAGCCAGGGGAGCGAACGGGAUUAGAUACCCCGGUAGUCCUGGCCGUAAACGAUGGAUACUAGGUGUUAGUGGUAUCGACCCCACUAGUGCCGUAGCUAACGCAUUAAGUAUCCCGCCUGGGGAGUACGGCCGCAAGGUUGAA